rnacentral:rRNA from 1 species
AUUGAACGCUGGCGGCAGGCCUAACACAUGCAAGUCGAGCGAGCGGCGGACGGGUGAGUAAUGUAUGGGGACUGCCCGAUAGAGGGGGAUAACUACUGGAAACGGUAGCUAAUACCGCAUACUAUCGGAUAACCCAUAUGGGAUUAGCUAGUAGGUGAGGUAAUGGCUCACCUAGGCGACGUGCCCUCGCUGGUCUGAGAGGAUGAUCAGCAACACGGGGCCUGAGCACCGGCCCAGACUCCUACGGAGGCAGCAUUGGGGAAUAUUGCAAAAUGGGCGCAAGCCUGAUGCAGCCAUGCGGGGUGGAGGAAGAAGGCCCUAGGGCUUUAAAGUACUUUCAGUCGGGAGGCGUUACCGACAGAAGAAGCACCGGCUAACUCCGUGCCAGCCGCCGCGGUAAUAC